rnacentral:tRNA from 1 species
GAUCGGGUAGCUCAGCGGCCAGAGCACCGGGCUCAUAUCCCGGUUGUCGGAGGUUCAAAUCCUUCCCCGAUCU